rnacentral:rRNA from 1 species
AGCGGACAGAAGGGAGCUUGCUCCCGGAUGUUAGCGGCGGACGGGUGAGUAACACGUGGGUAACCUGCCUGUAAGACUGGGAUAACUCCGGGAAACCGGAGCUAAUACCGGAUAGUUCCUUGAACCGCAUGGUUCAAGGAUGAAAGACGGUUUCGGCUGUCACUUACAGAUGGACCCGCGGCGCAUUAGCUAGUUGGUGAGGUAACGGCUCACCAAGGCGAC